GUAUGUCUUUUUAAUUAAGAAUAAGCUAAUCACUCAUCUUAACUACACAUGUAUUUACUGUAAUUGGCUAUCUAUGAGUAGAACUAGGAAGACUCUAAUCCUUAGUAAUUAAUAUAAGUUAUGCUUAUCGCGCAUUUACUUCUUAGCAUGAACUUGUUAGAGAAUGACUCUGAUGCUGAGGCAAGCCACGAAAUUAUGGCUAUGAACUAUGCAGGUACCACUUCACCAUUGUUAGAAAUGUUAUUUUUUCCAAUUGAGUAUUUGUAAUAAUUUUUAUUCAUCAUAACACAUUUAAGAAGACAAUCUAUGGUAUCAUUUUGGCAAUACUGUUCUGAAGAGUAUCUUUCUUGAUCUGUUUUGUUAGUAAUUUAGUAUUCUAUUUUGUAGUUGGCAGUUGGGCUGGAUAUUUGCUAGUUUGACAUAACUUGGAUUGAGAAGCAGUCCCAGUCACUCAGGCGCGUACGUCACCAAAUUCGUCAAUUUAGACUGGAGAUCAUACAUUAGAUUUCUGAAUUGGGUACCAGAUGCAUUGAAGAUGCCUGAGCCGGAGUUUAUUGAUCAUGCAGGGCUGGAUUCAGCUGUCUAUCUGCGGAUUUAUUUGCUUGGACUUAAGAUUUUUGUUCCGGUGACACUGCUUGCAUGGGCCAUCCUAGUGCCUGUCAACUGGACGAAUAACACCUUGGCAGUAUUAUCUCAAGGAGAUGAUAAGCUAACAUAUAGUGAGAUUGACAAGCUCUCAAUUUCAAAUGUUCCAUAUGGAUCACCCAGUAAUGGCCUAUGUCUUUACUUUCUGGACGUGCUAUGCAUUGAUGAAGGAGUAUGAAAUAAUUGCUACAAUGCGCUUACACUUUCUUGCUUCAGAAAAGAGUCGCCCUGAUCAAUUAACGGCACGGGCUUUUUGUUCAAGAUCGAUCUUGAACCGGGCAGCGCUGAAGAGUAAAGAAGAGUUUGGAACAGAAGGUUUCCAGAUAAGUCCAUGAAGAAGAUGUUGUUAUUCUUGUCCCUGGUGAUGUAGUUAGUAUAAAAUUGGUGGAAGAAUUGUUAGACAAAAAUUUCUGUGAUAUUUAUUAUAUUUGGAUGAUAAUGUAUGAAUAUUUUGGAUGUUAUAUAAUAUAUGUUAUCGAUGGCAA